CGGAAAAGAGUACCAUCGGCAAAAUAUGUAAAUGGAUUUACAUCUGGUACAGCCUCAGGAAGACCUCCAGUGCAGGCCUCAACAAGCCGGCUCCACACAGAGACAAUGGAAAGACCAAAAA